GCCGGGCGCGGUGGCGUGUGCCUGUGGUCCCAGCUACUCGGGAGGCUGAGGCAGGAGGAUCACUUGAGCCCAGGAGUUCUGGGCUGUAGUGCGCCAUGCCGAUCGGGUGUCUGCACUAAGUUCGGCAUCAAUAUGGUGAUCUCCCAGGAGCGGGGAGCCACCAGGUUGCCUAAGGAGGGGUGAACUGGCCCAUGUCGGAAAGGAAGAAGGGGUUGGGCUCUAGCUCAGGGGGAGAGCUUACCCAGCAUGUGGCUCCAUCCCCAGCACCAGAGAAGAGGAGAGAGAA
rnacentral:SRP_RNA from 1 species